AAACCUUUUAAAAAUAUCAUAAAUAUCAAAUCCAUAAACGUUCAAACAAAAAUAUCAAAUUCAGAUUUCAACAGGUUACGGAAAUAAAAACUCAAAGUAAAAUCAACAAAAACAAUAAUUUUUUGCCAUAUUUCAAAAUAUCGAAUUCAUAUUUCAACAGACUGAACGUUCCACUAUAUAAGAAACCAAAGAGAAAAAAUCGUCCAUAAUCCUCGUCUCCACAAUUUCAUCUCUCGAACAGGAAAACUAAAAAAUCCGUGUUUCGUCGAGACCAACGUAUAAAGGAUCUUUUAUAUCCGGUAUUACAUCCGUCGUUUAUGACGUAAUACAGGGAACGAAACUGAGCAAUCGAGGACAUUCAGCCGAGCAAUCUGCGGCCCGCAUGCAUACAGAAGUUGCUAUGAAACCCCCAGAAUCUAAGUUUCGUCAAGCAACAUGCUUCCAGAUAAUAUUCUCAUCAGAGUAAUAAUUACCACGAUUCCUACGUGUCGCGUUACCUAAAUAUUCCUAUUAACAGAACUAAUCUAGCCGCUCGACGCGGCCACGAUUCAUUUGUUUCUAUCAAACUUCGACUCGUGCCGGAAUUAACAUUGAAUCUACAUACGAAAAGAAAAUGAUGUAUUCCAUCCCGCGUAUUAUACAAAGGUCAUCGAGUAUAGCUUUCUCGUCGAACUAAGGCCAGACAACUCGAUGAAGAUCUAUAGGGAAACACGUGGCGCGCAUUGAAGGAAAAGGAAGAGGAGAGGGAAGAGGAAACUCGUUUCGCGGACUGAAAUUGCAGCCGAGAACCCCGUGGAAAGUUCUUGACAGAAAAAGAUCGAGUUUCCAACUGUCUACGCGGCUCUACACCACCAUCCCCGACGCGCCAUCUGCAACGUAUAUAAUCGUCCGCCGGAAGAUAAGACGAAUCUCUGCGUCACAGAGACGCUGCGCAACUUUUUCGCCGGACCAACUGCUGAUUACAACCCCGGAUACCAGACCACCCUCCGUUGCUCUGUUUUCCAAAAGAAAGGGAAGCAGAAGGCUUCUUCCGGUCAAGUUUCUUUGAGCUUUUGAUUGUGAGAGUAGAUGAGAUAGUUGGAAGAUUGAUUUUAAAGGGAUAAGGAUGAUUAAUUUUUCUUCUUA